AUUGAACGCUGGCGGCAUGCCUUACACAUGCAAGUCGAACGGCAGCACGGGAGCAAUCCUGGUGGCGAGUGGCGAACGGGUGAGUAAUAUAUCGGAACGUGCCCAGUCGUGGGGGAUAACGUAGCGAAAGCUACGCUAAUACCGCAUACGAUCUACGGAUGAAAGCAGGGGACCGCAAGGCCUUGCGCGAACGGAGCGGCCGAUGGCAGAUUAGGUAGUUGGUGGGAUAAAAGCUUACCAAGCCGACGAUCUGUAGCUGGUCUGAGAGGACGACCAGCCACACUGGGACUGAGACACGGCCCAGACUCCUACGGGAGGCAGCAGUGGGGAAUUUUGGACAAUGGGCGCAAGCCUGAUCCAGCAAUGCCGCGUGCAGGAUGAAGGCCUU
rnacentral:rRNA from 1 species